AUUGAACGCUGGCGGCAGGCCUAACACAUGCAAGUCGAACGAGUGGCGGACGGGUGAGUAAUGUCUGGGAAACUGCCUGAUGGAGGGGGAUAACUACUGGAAACGGUAGCUAAUACCGCAUACCAUCAGAUGUGCCCAGAUGGGAUUAGCUUGUUGGUGGGGUAACGGCACACCAAGGCGACGAUCCCUAGCUGGUCUGAGAGGAUGACCACCCAAAAUGGAACCGCACACAGGGUCAGACUCCUACGGGAGGCCGCAGGGGGGAAGUGUUGAAAAUGGGCGCAAGGCGUAUGCAGCCAUGGCGGGUGUAUGAAGAAGGGCUUCGGGUUGUAAAGUACUUUUCGUGGGGAGGCGUUACCCGCAGAAGAAGCACCCGCUAACUCCGGGCCAGCCGCCGCGGUAAUAC
rnacentral:rRNA from 1 species